AUUGAACGCUGGCGGCAUGCCUUACACAUGCAAGUCGAGCGGCAGCGCGGGGGCAACCCUGGCGGCGAGCGGCGAACGGGUGAGUAAUACAUCGGAACGUGUCCAGUAGCGGGGGAUAACCUGUCGAAAGAUAGGCUAAUACCGCAUACGACCUUCGGGUGAAAGCGGGGGACCGCAAGGCCUCGCACGAUUGGAGCGGCCGAUGUCGGAUUAGCUAGUUGGCGGGGUAACGGCCCACCAAGGCGACGAUCUGUAGCGGGUCUGAGAGGAUGAUCCGCCACACUGGGACUGAGACACGGCCCAGACUCCUACGGGAGGCAGCAGUGGGGAAUAUUGGACAAUGGGGGGAACCCUGAUCCAGCCAUGCCGCGUGUGUGAAGAAGGCCUUAUGGUUGUAAAGCACUUUAAGCGAGGAGGAGGCUCUUUUGGUUAAUACCCAAGAUGGGUGGACGUUACUCGCAGAAUAAGCACCGGCUAACUCUGUGCCAGCCGCCGCCGUAA
rnacentral:rRNA from 1 species